GGAGGCGGGGACUAGGGGGAGGUGUUUGAACAUUAUUACCGGGUUGGACGGGCCCCGUCUGGGAGGGGUUUGUACGUGAGCCUUGGGUCCCCCGCCCGCUGAGGAGAUGGAUGAGGAUGGGCUUCCUCUCAUGGGGUCAGGCAUAGACCUGACCAAGGUGCCAGCUAUUCAACAGAAAAGAACGGUGGCAUUUCUAAACCAGUUUGUGGUGCACACUGUACAGUUCCUCAACCGCUUUUCUACAGUUUGUGAGGAGAAACUGGCAGACCUUUCUCUUCGUAUCCAGCAAAUUGAAACAACUCUCAAUAUUUUGGAUGCAAAGUUGUCAUCUAUCCCAGGCCUAGAUGAUGUGACAUUUGAAGUAUCACCUGUAAGUGUCACUGGUGUCACAAAAGAAUCACAUUCUGAAACCGCUUCAGAGAAAUCACAACAGAACAGUUUACAAGACUCUGGACCACAGGAAAGUGAAGUAACACCAGAAAAUAUCUUAACUGUAGCCAAGGAUCCAAGAUAUGCCAGAUAUCUCAAAAUGGUUCAAGUGGGUGUUCCAGUGAUGGCAAUAAGAAACAAAAUGAUAUCAGAAGGACUAGACCCAGAUCUUCUUGAGACCCAGGCUGGAAGAACAGUCCCUACACGGGACAUACCUGGAGAACCGGCCAAACCUUAAGAUAAGUCUUAUACCUUCUGCCUACAUGAUGAAUGCCAUAUUUACUCACAUUUCAUUGGCCAAAGUACAUCACAUAGUCACACCCAGUGAGGUAAGGACAUGAAAUCUUCCCAUGGGAGGUACAGUUAAUCACCUGACAAUGGACAGGGAGGAGUGACCAGUAACUGAAAAAAUAAUUUCCUAGCAUGAUAAUAAACACUGAUUAUAAAUAAAAUAGAAAACAUGGGAAAGAAGAGUAUAAAAAUUACCUGUAAUUCUAUUAUUAACACUAUGAUGUAUUUCCUUCCAGGCUAUGUGUCUGUGUUUUUGGUUGUUUUGAUAAAUUUAGGAUUACAUAACAUAUGCAAAUAUAUACCUGCUUUAUAAGCUGCUUGUUGAUAUAGAAUUAUAUAAUGAAAAAUUUCCCUCACAAAAAAUCAUUCUUUUAAAAUAUCACAUUAAUUCCCACACAAUUUUUGUAUUAGUUUGGAUAGGCCAGGUUUUGUAACAAUAACAAAAAAUUUCAACUUUUUGCAUAGCUUCAAGUCACAAAGUUUUCUUUUUUCUUUUUUUUUUUUUUAAUUUUCAGUUAGCCAAUAUAUAGUGCAUCAUUAGUUUUUGAUGUAAUGUUCAAUGAUUCAUCAGUUACGUAUAACACCCAGGGCUCAUCACAACCGCAAAGGUUUAUUUCUUACUCAAGCCACAUGUCCAGUGCAAUUUGACAUAGCAGUUCUGCUUAUCUUGAUCAUUCUGGGACCAAGCCAAAUAGAUCAGCUACCAUCUCAAAUGUAUCUGGCUAUUGUGUAAAAAGGAAAAGAGAAAAUAGGAAAGCGUGCAUUGACUGUUAAAGCUUCUGUCCCCAAAGUUUUCACAUUUUAUUAGCCAAAUCAAGUCACGUGGUGCAACAUGUAUUUUUUUUAAAAUGGACACAAUAUUUUGCAGACCCUCCAAUCAAGAGGUUAAGUCUUAUUUUUCUACCCCUUGAUUCACCUUGGCCAUAUGACUUGACUUUGGCUAGUGGGACAGUAGCAAAUAUAAUGUAAGUAUAGGCUUAAAACAUCCUUGUGCUUUGAGACUUGUUUCUCUUAAUGCUUUUAGAACCACCCAAGAUUUUCAUAGAGGAUGACAGAUCACAUGGAGAGAGGCACCAUGCUCUUCCACUGUUUCAGCUAUCCCACAUAGUGUUCCACAGGACAAAACUGGCAGAAAACUCAACAUCAGAUUCAACUUCAGCUAAAGACCCUGAAGAAACAAUGCCUCCUUUGAAAGAAUUGAAGAGUCCAGAAACUUCUAGUUUCAACCAGCAACUGUCUAAACUGACAACCUGCUCUGCAGCCUGAUGGAUGACAAAGCUUCAUGGACUGGGAGAGAAUUCCAUGUCAAGAAUGUCUGCUUCUGAGAGCUAGUUCUGAUUGCCCUCAUCCCCAUUAACAAAAACAGAUGUGGGCUCAUGAGCCAAGUAAACAUUCAAGGCCAAUAUAUGUUCCUUUCCGCCAAUCUAGUUUGGCACUUCAAUAUGAGCAAAUAGUCUAUGAAGCAGAGUGGAACUUUUCUGUAACAUUAGUGUCAAGUGACAGGACUCACAUCUGUGUAUUAGGUUAACUGUUAUAUUAAACAUCUAUGGAAUAGA